GAUGAACGCUGGCGGCGUGCCUAAUACAUGCAAGUCGAGCGAACAGACGAGGAGCUUGCUCCUCUGACGUUAGCGGCGGACGGGUGAGUAACACGUGGAUAACCUACCUAUAAGACUGGGAUAACUUCGGGAAACCGGAGCUAAUACCGGAUAAUAUAUUGAACCGCAUGGUUCAAUAGUGAAAGACGGUUUUGCUGUCACUUAUAGAUGGAUCCGCGCCGCAUUAGCUAGUUGGUAAGGUAACGGCUUACCAAGGCGACGAUGCGUAGCCGACCUGAGAGGGUGGUCGGCCACACUGGAACUGAGACACGGUCCAGACUCCUACGGGAGGCAGCAGUAGGGAAUCUUCCGCAAAGGGCGAAAGCCUGACGGAGCAACGCCGCGUGAGUGAUGAAGGUCUUCGGAUCGUAAAACUCUGUUAUUAGGGAAGAACAAAUGUGUAAGUAACUAUGCACGUCUUGACGGUACCUAAUCAGAAAGCCACGGCUAACUACGUG
rnacentral:rRNA from 1 species